GCACAAGCGGUGGAGCAUGUGGUUUAAUUCGAAGCUACGCGAAGAACCUUACCAGGUCUUGACAUACUAUGCAAAUCUAAGAGAUUAGACGUUCCCUUCGGGGACAUGGAUACAGGUGGUGCAUGGUUGUCGUCAGCUCGUGUCGUGAGAUGUUGGGUUAAGUCCCGCAACGAGCGCAACCCUUAUUAUCAGUUGCCAGCAUUAAGUUGGGCACUCUGGUGAGACUGCCGGUGACAAACCGGAGGAAGGUGGGGAUGACGUCAAAUCAUCAUGCCCCUUAUGACCUGGGCUACACACGUGCUACAAUGGAUGGUACAACGAGUUGCGAACUCGCGAGAGUAAGCUAAUCUCUUAAAGCCAUUCUCAGUUCGGAUUGUAGGCUGCAACUCGCCUACAUGAAGUCGGAAUCGCUAGUAAUCGCGGAUCAGCAUGCCGCGGUGAAUACGUUCCCGGGCCUUGUACACACCGCCCGUCACACCAUGAGAGUUUGUAACACCCAAAGUCGGUGGGGUAACCUUUUAGGAACCAGCCGCCUGAGGUGGGACAGAUGAUUAGGGUGAAGUCGUAACAAGGUAACC
rnacentral:rRNA from 1 species